AAAGACGAGUUUGGAAGAGAUUUGUAGGUCAAAACGUGAAGAAUACAAGGCUAGAAGCAGUAUACGGACCGUGUAACCUGCCUCGUGUAACUUUCUGGACCCGUGAAACUCUCUGGAUUGAAGAAAACAUGAAAAAUGAAGUGGCAGAAAGUUACAUGGGGAGUGUAUAACUACACGGCCCAUGUAAAGUCGCCUGACAGCAAUUCUGAUGUGACUUUUCUUGCUUUCAACUCGACCCGGAUGGACUUCUAAUGCUUCUAGGACUCUGAAAU
rnacentral:misc_RNA from 1 species